rnacentral:rRNA from 1 species
GACGUAGGGUUAAGUCCCGAAACGAGCGCAACCCCUGUCGUCAGUUGCCAGCGGAUAAUCCCGGGGACUCUGACGGGACUGCUGCUGAAUAGCCGGAGGAAGGAGGGGAUGACGUCAAGUCAUCAUGUCCCUUAUGCCCAGGGCGACACACAUGCUACAAUGGAAGGUACAGAGAGUUGCAAUACCGUAAGGUAGAGCUAAUCCCAAAAAGCCUUCCCUAGUUCGGAUUGAGGUCUGCAACUCGACCUCAUGAAGCCGGAAUCGCUAGUAAUCGCGGGUCAGCCAUACCGCGGUGAAUAUGUACUCGGGGAUUGUACACACCGCCCGUCACACCAACCGAGUGGGGGGUACCUGAAGUCGUUCUAUCAAAGGGCGCCGAAGGUAACUUCCGCAAGAGGGGUGAAGUCGUAACAAGGUA